AACGAACGCUGGCGGCAUGCCUAACACAUGCAAGUCGAACGACACCUUCGGGUCUAGUUGCGCACGGGUGCGUAACGCGUGGGAACCUGCCCUUAGGUUCGGAAUAACUCCCCGAAAGGGGUGCUAAUACCGGAUAAUUUCUUCGGACCAAAGAUUCAUCGCCCUGGGAUGGGCCCGCGUUGGUUUAGCUAGUUGGUAGGGUAAAAGCCUAUCAAGGCGAGGAUCGCUAGCUGGUCUGAGAGGAAGAGCAGCCACACUGGGACUGAGACCCGGCCCAGAAUCUUACGGGAGGCAGCAGUGGGGAAUAUAGGACAACGGGCUAAAGCAUGAUCCCGCAAUGCCGCGUGAGUGAUGAAGGCCUUAGGGUUGUAAAGCUGUUUUACCCGGGAUGAUAAUGACAGUACCGGGAGAAUAAGCUCCGGCUAACUCCGUG
rnacentral:rRNA from 1 species